rnacentral:misc_RNA from 1 species
GAUGAAGAACGUAGCGAAAUGCGAUACGUAAUGUGAAUUGCAGAAUUCAGUGAAUCAUCGAGUCUUUGAACGCCCAUUGCGUCCCCUGGUAUUCCGGGGGGCAUGCCUGUCCGAGCGUCAUUGCUGCCCUCAAGCACGGCUUGUGUGUUGGGCCUCCGUCCUCCUCCCGGGGGACGGGCCCGAAAGGCAGCGGCGGCACCGCGUCCGGUCCUCGAGCGUAUGGGGCUUCGUCACCCGCUUUUGUAGGCCCGGCCGGCGCUUGCCGACACAUCAAUCUUUUUUCCAGGUUGACCUCGGAUCAGGUAGGGAUACCCGCUGAACUUAAGCAUAUCAAUAAGCGGAGGA